AGCAGCCGCGGUAAUUCCAGCUCCAAUAGCGUAUAUUAAAGUUGUUGCAGUUAAAAAGCUCGUAGUUGAAUUUCGGGGUUCUACCGUUGGUCGGGCUUCGUCUGUACUGGCGUGUAGAAUUUCUACCUUCUGGGGAACCAUCAUGUUAUUAAUUUAACGUGGUGGGAAACCAGGACCUUUACCUUGAAAAAAUUAGAGUGUUCAAAGCAGGCUUAUGUCUGAAUACAUUAGCAUGGAAUAAUAAAAUAGGACGGUGGUCCUGUUUUGUUGGUUUCUGAAUCACCGUAAUGAUUAAUAGGGAUAGUUGGGGGCAUUAGUAUUCAAUUGUCAGAGGUGAAAUUCUUGGAUGUAA
rnacentral:rRNA from 1 species